GACGAACGCGGCGGCGUGCUUAACACAUGCAAGUCGAACGGUGAAGCGGGUGCUUGCACUCGUGGAUCAGUGGCGAACGGGUGAGUAACACGUGAGUAACCUGCCCUCCACUCUGGGAUAAGCGCUGGAAACGGCGUCUAAUACUGGAUACGACCGACCCUCGCAUGGGGUGUUGGUGGAAAGAUUUAUCGGUGGUGGAUGGACUCGCGGCCUAUCAGCUUGUUGGUGGGGUAAUGGCCUACCAAGGCGACGACGGGUAGCCGGCCUGAGAGGGCGACCGGCCACACUGGGACUGAGACACGGCCCAGACUCCUACGGGAGGCAGCAGUGGGGAAUAUUGCACAAUGGGCGAAAGCCUGAUGCAGCGACGCCGCGUGAGGGAUGACGGCCUUCGGGUUGUAAACCUCUUUCAGCAGGGAAGAAGCUUUGUGACGUACCUGCAGA
rnacentral:rRNA from 1 species